rnacentral:rRNA from 1 species
CUACGGGUUGCUCCGGUGAGGAAUAUUGCACAAUGGGGGGAACCCUGAUGCAGCAACGCCGCGUGGAGGAUGACGCAUUUCGGUGUGUAAACUCCUUUCAUAUGUCAAGAAAAUGACGGUAGCAUAUGAAUAAGCACCGGCUAACUCCGUGCCAGCAGCCGCGGUAAUACGGAGGGUGCAAGCGUUACUCGGAAUCACUGGGCGUAAAGGACGCGUAGGCGGGUUGGAAAGUCAGGUGUGAAAUCCUACAGCUUAACUGUAGAACUGCACUUGAAACUUCUAAUCUAGAGUAUGGGAGGGGGAGAUGGAAUUAGUGGUGUAGGGGUAAAAUCCGUAGAUAUCACUAGGAGUACCUAAAGCGAAGGCGAUCUCCUGGAACAUUACUGACGCUAAGGCGUGAAAGCGUGGGGAGCAAACAGGAUUAGAUACCCCCGUAGUC